GUCAGGGUAGCUCAGAUGGUUAGAGCACGGGAUUCAUAACCCCGAGGUCGAGAGUUCGAUUCUCUCCUCUGACA
rnacentral:tRNA from 1 species